AGCAGGUGAGAUGGUCGCUCCGUAAUCCGGCAUAAGCCUGAGAUUGCGGAGAGGAAAGUCCGGGCUCCGAAGGGCAAGGACAGUGGCCAAGCGCCACCGUCCCGCAGCCGGUUGGAUUUAUCCAACCGGCUGCGGGACAGGGAAAGUGCCACAGAAAAGAUACCGCCUGUGUGUAGGGGUCAGGUCUCAACAUUCAACAUAAGCAGCAAGCUUAUGUUGAAUGUUGAGACCUGACCCCCUCGACUGGUAAGGGUGAAAAGGCGGGGUAAGAGCCCACCGCUGCGGGGGUGACCUUGCAGGCAUGGUAAACCCUGUCCGGAGUAAGGCCAUGUAGGUUCCGCCUUGAGGGUGGCCCUCCCGAUUGAGCGGAACGGGUAGGCUGCAUGAGUCCGGGAGCAAUCCCGGACCUCAGAUGAAUGACCAUUAUAUACAGAACCCGGCUUAUUGCCUGCUUU
rnacentral:RNase_P_RNA from 1 species